rnacentral:lncRNA from 1 species
UGGUUUAAGAUUUAGUCCCAUUAUAUUGACAUAGUAGUAUGUUUGUGAUACAACAACCUAAAUUGUCAAUCCUACCUCACCAUCCCUAAACAAUUAAAAUUAAUUAGUUGAUGCACCAUGCCUCAAUUUUCUACCGCAACAUCCCCAUUUACAUUAGAUGGGUAUGCACCAUGCACACCACACACUACUAUAUUAAUUAUUUGACUUGUCCAUGCACCUUACACAUUUAUACCCUCGUAGACCCUAGACCUUAGAUACUUACACUCUAUGACUAACUUUGACUACCUAUAACUAAACACUAACUAUCAUAUACACUUCCUAAAAUAAAACGACCCUACCUUUUCUUAGAUAUAGGACCCUACCUUUUCCUAGAUAUAGAUAGUAUUCUUAUUUGAUACCUUUGACCUAGUACACCUUCCAUCAAGACUCUAUAUUGACUCUAGAUCUUAACCAUAUUCUUUGACUAUCUUAGAAUUAGAGAUAAACCCUUCUAAGAUUGGACUAUCCUUCCUAGAGCCUAAACGAUUUUCUUAGACGCCCAACAUUCUAUAUGGCCUACUAGACCUAUCCUAAACCCUACAUGCACCCUAAAGGUUUUUAGGAUUGGAUUACUCUUUAUACGCCCCCUACAAGUUCCUUAAUGGACCUAAACCGUUAUUAUAUCCUAUGUGUAUCCUACUAAACCUUGACUUUUUUAUACUCAACUAGACCUAAAAUCCUUCCACCAGCUUUAAAUACCCUUGUAGAUCCUAGACCUUAAGACUUCCUAGACCUUAAGACCCUAAAAGUGGAUACGUAGACCCUUUCUAGAAUGACAUAGCCGACUCUACCCUUUCCUAGAACAUUAUUUGAGACUUUAGACACUUAUCCUAAACUUAUGACUCUAUACUUUUAGUAGCUUCUAAAUAGAUCUAGACCCUACUUACACCAUGCACCUUUAUCCUAGAGCUGCUUGACAUUUGUGCUAUACAAAGUCGUCUACUUUGAAG